GAUGAACGCUGGCGGCGUGCCUAAUACAUGCAAGUCGAGCGAACGGACGAGAAGCUUGCUUCUCUGAUGUUAGCGGCGGACGGGCGAGUAACACGUGGAUAACCUACCUAUAAGACUGGGAUAACUUCGGGAAACCGGAGCUAAUACCGGAUGAUAUUUUGAACCGCAUGGUUCAAAAGUGAAAGACGGUCUUGCUGUCACUUAUAGAUGGAUCCGCGCUGCAUUAGCUAGUUGGUAAGGUAACGGCUUACCAAGGCAACGAUGCAUAGCCGACCUGAGAGGGUGAUCAGCCACACUGGAACUGAGACACGGUCCAGACUCCUACGGGAGGCAGCAGUAGGGAAUCUUCCGCAAUGGGCGAAAGCCUGACGGAGCAACGCCGCGUGAGUGAUGAAGGUCUUCGGAUCGUAAAACUCUGUUAUUAGGGAAGAACAUAAGUGUAAGUAACUGUGCACAUCUUGACGGUACCUAAUCAGAAAGCCACGGCUAACUACGUG
rnacentral:rRNA from 1 species